AAAUGGGUCUGUCUCUCUCUCGCCUCUUUCAUUUGUCAGUAAAGAGCUAUGCUCCACAGCUUAUAUUAAUGGCGGCCAAAGUCAGUAUUAGAGGGCUUUUCUUGCUUCUUCUGCAUGUGAUGCUUGCAGAGAUGGGGCGGGGGGGGAUUGAAUUCUUGGUGUCCCUAUUCUGGUGCCUUACUGCUAUUGGCUACUGAGUUCUCGGCUUAGAUUUCUAAAAUAUAUUCCUUAAAAUCAGUGUAAAUAUGUUUGUUUAUGGUGAAUGAGCCAAGAAAAGCAAUUCAUAGAGAUACAUCACGAUCUUUCAGUGGCUGAUGUUGGCAACUGAAUAUGGUUCAAGUGGAAGCCAGUUCAUGUGCUGGACUGGUCCGGCCGAUUGUUGUUCCAAAUUCAGGAAUAUCGUAACGAAUGGUGAGGUCCUCUCAGUUCCGAUUUCGAUUACGAUAUAUUCAACCAUUAAUUUAUUUUUUCAAUCAUCAGAAAAAUGUAAAAAAGAAUCGUGGAUUAUAGCUCAAAAACCUA